AACGAACGCUGGCGGCGUGCCUAACACAUGCAAGUCGAGCGGGAAAGCCCGCAAGGGUGAGUACAGCGGCGCACGGGUGCGUAACACGUGGGUAAUCUGCCCUGAAGCUCGGGAUAACUCGCCGAAAGGCGUGCUAAUACCGGAUAAGACCACGGGAGCCUCGGCUCCUGCGGGAAAAGGUGGCCUCUGUAUACAAGCUAUCACUUCAGGAUGAGCCCGCGGCCCAUCAGCUCGGUGGCGGGGUAAUGGCCCACCAAGGCUACGACGGGUAGCUGGUCUGGGAGGACGAUCAGCCACACUGGAACUGAGACACGGUCCGGACUCCUACGGGAGGCAGCAGUGGGGAAUCUUGCGCAAUGGGCGAAAGCCUGACGCAGCAACGCCGCGUGUGUGAUGAAGGUCUUCGGAUCGUAAGGCACUGUCGGGAGGGACGAAUAAGGGCCGGGUGAACAAUCCGGUUCGAUGACGGUACCUCCAAAGGAAGCACCGGCUAACUCUGUGCCAGCAGCCGCAGUAAAAC
rnacentral:rRNA from 1 species